AGUGAACGCUGGCGGUAGGCCUAACACAUGCCAGUCGAACGGCAGCACAGGAGAGCUUGCUCUCUGGGUGGCGAGUGGCGGACGGGUGAGGAAUACAUCGGAAUCUGCCCAGUCGUGGGGGAUAACGUAGGGAAACUUACGCUAAUACCGCAUACGACCUUCGGGUGAAAGAGGGGGAUCGCAAGACCUCUCGCGAUUGGAUGAGCCGAUGUCGGAUUAGCUAGUUGGCGGGGUAAUGGCCCACCAAGGCGACGAUCCGUAGCUGGUCUGAGAGGAUGAUCAGCCACACUGGAGCUGAGACACGGUCCAGACUCCUACGGGAGGCAGCAGUGGGGAAUAUUGGACAAUGGGCGCAAGCCUGAUCCAGCCAUACCGCGUGGGUGAAGAAGGCCUUCGGGUUGUAAAGCCCUUUUGUUGGGAAAGAAAUCUUUCAGGCUAAUACCCUGGGAGGAUGACGGUACCCAAAGAAUAAGCACCGGCUAACUUCGUG
rnacentral:rRNA from 1 species